rnacentral:lncRNA from 1 species
AUGUACGUGGGGUCUGAGUACACCUGGGGGUGCCGAACGUUCCACCUUUCUAACAAGCCGGGUGAGGGGGAUGCUGCCUGUGGGCGACCGCAGUUGAGAAGGCCCUGGGGACGCCCUGCCUACCCUCCGCUUACAGGUGCAUUCGGGUCGCUGUUCGUUAACCGGGGUGUCCAGAGCCCUGCGCCUCAGGGACGGACUCGGGACCCGCGGUUAAUAGGGCCGGGACUGCCACGUGCGGAGACAGCGCCCGCCGUCUGGGUGGAGUGGAGCGAGGACGCGCAGUGCGCAGGGGCCCCGCCUCUGGGGCUCGUGCGGAAGCCAGGCGGCGCCAAAGGACGCGAGGAGAUGGCUUCCCGGCAGACCCUCAGGACUACGCAUGCAGGCGCACUCCCGGGAGGGCUUCUUGUGUCCGCAGACAAGGAGGGAAGAGCUGAGGAAACAAAUUAA